rnacentral:lncRNA from 10 species
AGUGCCCCUGUGUUGAGGCUGCAGAGGCCCUAAUUGGUUUUCCCAAGACAGAGGGGCAUAUGAGAUUGAACAAAUAUUUGUUGAAUGAAUGAACAAAGGGAACGCCUUUUAGGGAUGUUUCUGGGGGAAAGGCCUGAGGUUCUCCAGGAGGGUCUGCAGCUAGGGUCGGCCGUGGGGGCUCGCAGCCCGCGGGACCACCGGACCUGCAAGCGUCCCCCUGCCCCGCCCCCGCCUCGGCGCUCUGAGCAAUUGGACUCUGCCAGCUCUAACUCCGGCGGGACUCUGAAACUCAGGCAAGAGCCGAGGUGUUCUGGACUUGGAAGAUUUGUUGAAUUACUAUGAAGUCACAUCUAAAGUUUGAAAGAGAUCGGGUCUCACUAUUUU